CCUGUUAAUGUAAAUGCCCUAAAGACACCAGAUCCCAUCUCAUCUUGGAAGCUAAUCAGAGUCAACUCUCAUAGUACUUGGAUGGGAGGCUACCAAUGGAAACCAGGUGCUAUAUAGGC
rnacentral:rRNA from 11 species